AAGGUUUUGGGCUGCGUGUCAGGAGUGCAUUUGCACUGAAAAUUUCUAAAAGCUUGUAAAUGCACUAUCUGGUACGACAUUCCAGAACGU
rnacentral:pre_miRNA from 1 species